UCAAACGAAUUGACGGGGGCCCGCACAAGCAGCGGAGCGUGUGUUUAAUUUCGAUGCUACACGAAGAACCUUACCUGGGUUUGACAUGCACGUGGUAGGGAACCGAAAGGGGACCGACCUUCGGGAGCGUGCACAGGUGCUGCAUGGCUGUCGUCAGCUCGUGCCGUGAGGUGUCGGGUUAAGUCCCGUAACGAGCGCAACCAUUGCCAUUAGUUACAACUCUCUAACGGGACUGCCCGGGACAACUGGGGCCAAGGUGGGGAUGACGUCAAGUCAGCAUGGCCUUUAUAUCCAGGGCUACACACACGCUACAAUGGCCGGUACAGUAGGUUGCGAAGUCGUGAGGCGGAGCCAAUCCUCAAAGCCGGUCUCAGUUCGAAUUGCAGUCUGCAACUCGACUGCAUGAAGCUGGAGUUGCUAGUAAUCGCAGGUCAGCUAUCCUGCCGUGNUACGUUCCCGGGCAUUGACACACCGCCCGUCACGUCAUGGAAGCUGGCAACGC
rnacentral:rRNA from 1 species